UAGACAUACUCAAUACGAACUAAUAUAGACGUCUUCGAUAGAAUUAAACGAAUAAUAUGAGAAACAAAUAAACAAUAAUUGUUAAUUAAUGUAGUCGAAUUUAACAUUGACUUAAUAAUAUAUUGAGAUCCCAAAUGUGAAUGUUGCCUUUGGUAGUGCCUGCAUAAAGAUGUUCUACAUUGGGAGUUAUUUGAAAAAGAAUGCAAUUCACACAACCCAUAUCACCACGAAAAAGAUAUUUUGGAUCCGGAGGAAGUGUCGCCAUUGAAGUAAAUUUUAUAUAAAUUCACUACUGUAAUGUUUGUAAUAGUAUAAAUAAAGAUUUUAAUUAAAAGCUUCA